GACGAACGCUGGCGGCGUGCUUAACACAUGCAAGUCGAACGGAAAGGCCCUUCUUUUGUUGGGUGCUCGAGUGGCGAACGGGUGAGUAACAAGUGAGUUACCUUCCCUUUACUUUUGGAUAACUUCAGGAAACUGUGGCUCAUACCGGAUAGUAGCUCCUGCUGCUUGGUGGGGGUUGGAAAGUUUCGGCGGUUGGGGAUGGACUCGCGGCUUAUCAGCUUGUUGGUGGGGUAGUGGCUUACCAAGGCUUUGACGGGUAGCCGGCCUGAGAGGGUGACCGGCAACAUUGGGACUGAGAUACGGCCCAGACUCCUACGGGAGGCAGGAGUGGGGAAAAUUGAAAAAUGGGCGGAAGCCUGAGGCAGCAACGCCGCGUGCGGGAUGACGGCCUUCGGGUUGUAAACCGCUUUAGCCUGUGACGAAGCGUGAGUGACGGUAAUGGGUAAAGAAGCACCGGCUAACUACGUG
rnacentral:rRNA from 1 species